rnacentral:lncRNA from 10 species
GUGAAACUGCAAGUCGAGAGCGUGGGAAACCAGCAAGUUGAGAGAGGAUCCAGAAGUAACCCCUUCUAAAACGGGAAAGAUGCCUUCCGAAAGGUGACCAAAUUCUUGUUUUAGAUGGUGGUGUUAAUUUGGGAGGUUGGAAGGGAGGCAGGUGGGAGAAGGGACAUGUCCCUUUCGAAGAGCCCCUUUGUUUCUUCUGUGGAGCACAGCUCUGUGGGAGGCAUCUGCUCUUUACCUAUAGACCGGAUGGCCUGGUACUGGUCUUCUCUAGACUGAAGGUCCUCCACCAGGUCUCCUGCUGCUGCUACCUAAGAAAGAAAUCUCACAAGGGUGUUAAAAGCACUUGGCCCUAAAGAGAAAACACUAGGAGGAUGGGAACCAGGGACAGAGAAGCUACUUGCUCUGCAGCUGUUUGGGCCAGAUGUGACUUGCUCCUCCUUGUUUUCCAACAUGAUUGUGAGGCCUCCCCAGCC